rnacentral:rRNA from 1 species
UACGUAGGGUGCGAGCGUUGUCCGGAAUUAUUGGGCGUAAAGAGCUCGUAGGCGGUUUGGCAAGUCGGGUGUGAAAUUUCGAGGCUCAACCUCGAAACGGCCACUCGAUACUGCCAUGACUGGAGUCCGGUAGAGGAGUGCGGAAUUCCUGGUGUAGCGGUGAAAUGCGCAGACUAUCAGGAGGAACACCAACGGCGAAGGCAGCACUCUGGGCCGGUACUGACGCUGAGGAGCGAAAGCGUGGGGAGCAAACAGGA